rnacentral:sRNA from 1 species
UUCACCCUAGGCUUUGCGGAGCGCGUUGGAGCGUGAUUUGUUUGCGCUUGUUGCGAUUUGAACAGGCAAUGUAAGGUAGCACAGGACGAGCGUCCAUGGACGCCUAACACUUGAUCCGCCGAAGGAGAAUAAUUCGCAAUGAUAGCAAAAUAGUUACAAGCUAAGGAU